GAGAAAAGAAAAAAAAAACGCAGCCGCCCGCACGACACUGCCUCCCAGCCCCAUCUCCACCCCGGCGCUCCCCUUGCCGCGCGUCGCCGGCCCACACCCCCAAUCGCGCGGCGGCGCCGCCUAUCCCGCCGGUGCGCCUACCCCUGCCCCACGUGCCCCAACAGGCCAACACCGGUGGCCUUCCACUCCCCGGCGACCCGCGGCCAUCAUCGUGGAGACGUGCAAGCAAUGGCCGUGGCCUUCAUGAACGAGCUGACCCUGGUGUCGUGCGUCGUAUCUAAGCUUCCGGAGUUGCCGUCGUCGCUCACGCUCGACCUGCUCGACGCCCUCCUCAAAUCCGCUGCCGCCGCUUCGUCAAGGCUGCUCUUCUCCCCCAGCGGACCCCAGAUCCCAUUGGUCCCCUAGCCAGUUGCUGGCAGGCUGUCGACGGCGACGAACGCCACCGCCGCCUGAUUCUGGUUCAACCACUGAUCGAUCCAAUCUUCCACUGCAGAAAAGCACCAACAAGCAUUGGAUACGCCCUCGCCUGGUGAUCUCCCUGAAGGUGUUGUGAGGCAGGAAGUGUGAUUAGAAUCGACAAGGAGCAGCUAGAAGCAGUGACCAUCUCCCUUACAUGGAUUUGCAACGGCCAAAGUACUCUCUUAAUUCUUUAUUUUCACUAACUAUUCAUACAAGUUGUUCCAAAUUAGGUGAGCCCUUUCCAUGAGCUUUUGCCCACAACCUGUUUGAUGUUAUGCGUAUGAGGGAUCGAAAUACAUUUUAAUUUUCUGGUGAAACUCUUACUGUACGAGAAUGCUCAGCUCGUGGACCGACUGGAGGUCGCUCGCAUAGCAGAUCAUCUCAUCGCUGCCCCAAGCUCGUCCACAGUGCUGCCUCGAGCUUCCUCCAUGGGACGCCAUCGCUAUUGCAACACCAUGGUCACCGGCUGACUGCCCGGCCUCUACUUCUUGCAGCCUGUUGAAUAAUCAAUUCGCUUGAUCGCAAAUAAAAUACAUGAUGUUUCUAAUGAGGCUAAAUACUUGUUUUAAGAGAAUGCUAGGGUUGUAUGGCAGCACCCAAAGGAGCAGUUUAUGGCGCUGGAAUUUUGAUUCAGUCUGUAGUAGAUGAUAAAUAUUAGUGCCCACUUCCUCUGCUAUAAUCAGAUUUUUUACAGAACACUAGCUCGUUUCAUUGAACAGAUCUAACAUGGUUUGGUGUUUAUCUAAUAGUUAGUUUGAUGAUAUGCCUUUGAGAAACAAUAGGCAUUGUCUUCUGGAAUGUUGUUGUUUUCACAAUAAUAAGUUCGAUAGCGUUCAUAAUAUUACUCGAAACACGUUUAUUAAGCAAAUUACAAGGGAAAUUAAGAAUCUCUAGGAUAACUUUGGUUGAUGUUUUAGAUAUAAAUUCAAAGGUUAAUGUUAAGUCAUCUGAUCCUGCAUGUUCUUAUGUGACACCCUUUAAAUACAUAUAUUGCAUCACACUGUUUUGUAUGACUACACAAGCACUGUAAUGGGGUCAACAUGCCACCAGAAUGAUCUGGCAUACUUUACCAUCUCAUUAGCAAUUCAAGUUACUCCAAUAGAUUGGUCCAUUCAUUUACUCAACUUGUGUAUGAAUGCUUCUAAGCAUAUAUUACUGUCAAUUUUACUAACAUGCCUACACGGUUGUUACUCCUCUUUUUUCUCAAUUAGUUGUGCACGAUAAAUACAAAUACAGCUACGUUUUGCUCAUACCAGUUGUUGUUUAGGUCAGUAAUUUCAUCUCAACUCUUAUUCAACUUGAAUUCUUACUUACUCCAGGUGAGCUUAUUGAAUCCUGAGAUGGAAAAGAUUGUACUUGCAGCAACACCGCCUGCAUCUUGACUGAUGCCCCCAUCAUUAUGAUCAACAUGGCCUAUUCCAGGUUAUCAAAUAUAAUCUUCACCAUGGCCGAAGGUAAAUUUGUUCAGGAUAUUAGUUUGUUUCAUCCACCAAGAUAAACAACAGGUGGCAUAUGGUGAUGAGAUAGGCUUCUUCAGCUCUUUAUUUGGCAGUCCUCUUCUCGAAUCCCCUCUCUUUUCAAUGUUGUCCUGAAAUUUCAGCAACACAACUUUGUGAUCUUGCCAGGCAAUCAUGCUAAUUGAGAAAGAUGUGGUAUCCAGGACUAUGUAUUGUACUACUCAGAAAAAUGUAUUUAUCUCUUUCAGGUCUGCGCUAGCUAUUUCUUUAAACGACAUUCUGACAGUAUGUGCAAAAGGAUGAUGCCCGUACAGAAUAAAUUUCUCUUUUUUA